AGCCAUUACUUGAAAAAUAUUCACGUGCCAAGCAUGUCAUAACGUUCAAACAUGCAGAAUGAGUUGUAACAAUGCCACAACAUACCUCACAAAUAUGCAAAACUAUAACCGUCCUCUUAAUAAGUUUUAGCCACCAUUAAUGCAUUCUAAUUUAGAGAUAUAUAGUAUGUCGUUAUUUAUUAACCGAUCUAGUUGGCAAUGGUACCACAUCACUAGUCACAUUCAUCAAUUAUUUAUUUAUAUAAAUAUUUUAUAGAAGAAGAUAAAAUAAAAUAACAAAAAUUCAAAAAUCAUGAUGCUUUUUUCAAUCUCGAUUUCCUCUCUUCACCGGUUUUACAAUUUAACCACAAAAUAAACGAGAUAUUCUAAUCACAUUUAUUUAUUAUUUAUUUAUAUACAUCAAAAAUUCAAAAUCCAUGAUGCUUUUUUCCAUCUCGAUUUUUUUUCUUUCACCUAUUUUACAUUUUAACCACCACAUGAAAAGUUUUAAUGACAUUUAUUUAUUAUUUAUUUAUAUAAAUAUUGCAUAAAAAUAAAAUAAAAGAUCAAAAAUUCCAAUCUUUCUUUUAAUAUUCAUUUAUUAUUUCUUUAUAUUAUUUUUUAUAUAAAAAUAAAAUCACAUGCUACAUUAUAGGUCCCAAUAUUAAUAGUGGCAAUAAAAACUGAUGAAGUUGGGGCUGGUUUGCUGCCUCCUGCCACCGUUUUUCAUUAAAUUCAAAGAGCAAAGGAAAAUUCCACAACCGGGCUCUAACAUUUCUCGAAUCCAUAUCUCUCCGCCGCCGUCGAUUUGAUUUUCCAUCUCUCCGCUGCCGUUGAUUUGGUUUCGAUGACCAAGUCCUCCCAUCUCUUUCCUUUUCUCAGCCCUUUCCUCCCGUCCAUUUACGAAUUUCCCAAAUCACUGCCGCGUACC
rnacentral:lncRNA from 1 species